rnacentral:rRNA from 1 species
AGCGGCAGGCUUAACACAUGCAAGUCGAGGGGCAGCGGGGAGGAAGCUUGCUUUCUCCGCCGGCGACCGGCGCACGGGUGAGUAACACGUAUGCAACCUGCCCCUGUCAGGGGGACAACCCGCCGAAAGGCGGGCUAAACCCGCGUACAUGCCACCGGGGCAUCCCGGAGGCAGGAAAGGCUUCGGCCGGACAGGGAUGGGCAUGCGGCGCAUUAGGCAGUAGGCGGGGUAACGGCCCACCUAACCGACGAUGCGUAGGGGUUCUGAGAGGAAGGUCCCCCACACUGGUACUGAGACACGGACCAGACUCCUACGGGAGGCAGCAGUGAGGAAUAUUGGUCAAUGGUCGGGAGACUGAACCAGCCAAGCCGCGUGAGGGAGGAAGGUACAGAGUAUCGUAAACCUCUUUUGUCAGGGAACAAAGACUGGGACGCGUCCCCGGAUGAGUGUACCUGAAGAAAAAGCAUCGGCUAACUCCGUGCCCGCAGCCGCGGUAAUACGGAGGAUGCGAGCGUUAUCCGGAUUUAUUGGGUUUAAAGGGUGCGCAGGCGGUCUGUUAAGUCAGCGGUCAAAGCCCGGGGCUCAACCCCGGCCCGCCGUUGAAACUGGCAGUCUCGAGUUGGAGAGAAGUAUGCGGAAUGCGCGGUGUAGCGGUGAAAUGCAUAGAUAUCGCGCAGAACUCCGAUUGCGAAGGCAGCAUGCCGGCUCCACACUGACGCUGAGGCACGAAAGCGUGGGUAUCGAACAGGAUUAGAUACCCUGGUAGUCCACGCAGUAAACGAUGAAUGCUGGCUGUCCGGGGGGACUGACCCCUGGGUGGCGAAGCGAAAGCGAUAAGCAUUCCACCUGGGGAGUACGCCGGCAACGGUGAAACUCAAAGGAAUUGACGGGGGCCCGCACAAGCGGAGGAACAUGUGGUUUAAUUCGAUGAUACGCGAGGAACCUUACCCGGGCUCAAACGGGGAGUGCCGCAGGCAGAGACGCCUGUUUCCCACGGGACACUCCCCGAGGUGCUGCAUGGUUGUCGUCAGCUCGUGCCGUGAGGUGUCGGCUUAAGUGCCAUAACGAGCGCAACCCCCGCGUGCAGUUGCUAACAGAUAACGCUGAGGACUCUGCACGGACUGCCGGCGCAAGCCGCGAGGAAGGCGGGGAUGACGUCAAAUCAGCACGGCCCUUACGUCCGGGGCGACACACGUGUUACAAUGGGUGGUACAGCGGGAAGCCAGGCGGCGACGCCGAGCGGAACCCGAAAUCCACUCUCAGUUCGGAUCGGAGUCUGCAACCCGACUCCGUGAAGCUGGAUUCGCUAGUAAUCGCGCAUCAGCCAUGGCGCGGUGAAUACGUUCCCGGGCCUUGU